GAUGAACGCUGGCGGCGUGCCUAAUACAUGCAAGUCGAGCGAACGGACGAGAAGCUUGCUUCUCUAAUGUUAGCGGCGGACGGGUGAGUAACACGUGGAUAACCUACCUAUAAGACUGGGAUAACUUCGGGAAACCGUAGCUAAUACCGGAUAAUAUUUUGAACCGCAUGGUUCAAAAGUGAAAGACGGUCUUGCUGUCACUUAUAGAUGGAUCCGCGCUGCAUUAGCUAGUUGGUAAGGUAACGGCUUACCAAGGCAACGAUGCAUAGCCGACCUGAGAGGGUGAUCGGCCACACUGGAACUGAGACACGGUCCAGACUCCUACGGGGGGCAGCAGUAGGGAAUCUUCCGCAAUGGGCGAAAGCCUGACGGAGCAACGCCGCGUGAGUGAUGAAGGUCUUCGGAUCGUAAAACUCUGUUAUUAGGGAAGAACAUAUGUGUAAGUAACUGUGCACAUCUUGACGGUACCUAAUCAGAAAGCCACGGCUAACUACGUG
rnacentral:rRNA from 1 species